GGCUGGAAACGUCGACGUUAAUAACCCUAACACGUAAACUCCCAUGCUUUCUUUAAGCCUGGGAAACUCCCCCUCCGCCCCCAUGCCUUGGUCCACUUUAACGGCUAAAAUGCCCUCUCCCAGAGAUGACCUUGCUGAGUGUCGUUUCUUGGUUGUCAUUGUUCCAGCCUGGCUUAGAACUUACCAUGCAUCAGAAGAUGGCCUUGAACUUCCAAUCCUUCUGAUUUCUGGGAUUCUACGCGUGAGCGACCAUGUCCAGUCUACUCAGUGCUAUGGACAGAUCUCAGGGCUUCAAGCAUGACCUACAAACACUCCAGGGACUAAGCUCUGUUUUACACCCACCCCCUCCAUUUAUAUUAAACAGAAAGUGUUUGUCUUUCCUUCAACUUUCCCCACAUCCAACAACAUCCAUGCAUGAAUAAACAACACUGAUAAAUAACAAUGGCCCUGAAUAAAA
rnacentral:lncRNA from 1 species